rnacentral:rRNA from 1 species
UACGGAGGGUCCGAGCGUUAUCCGGAAUCAUUGGGUUUAAAGGGUCCGUAGGCGGAUCAGUAAGUCAGGGGUGAAAGUUUGCGGCUCAACCGUAAAAUUGCCUUUGAUACUGCUGGUCUUGAGUUACGAUGAAGUGGCCGGAAUAUGUGGUGUAGCGGUGAAAUGCAUAGAUAUCACAUAGAACACCGAUUGCGAAGGCAGGUCACUAAUCGUGGACUGACGCUGAUGGACGAAAGCGUGGGGAGCAAACGGGAUUAGAUACCCCGGUAGUCCACGCCGUAAACGAUGGACACUAGCUGUCGGGCUUUAAAGUUCGGCGGCCAAGCGAAAGUGAUAAGUGUCCCACCUGGGGAGUACGUUCGCAAGAAUGAAACUCAAAGGAAUUGACGGGGGCCCGCACAAGCGGUGGAGCAUGUGGUUUAAUUCGAUGAUACGCGAGGAACCUUACCAGGGCUUGAAUGUAGUGGGACAGGCUUAGAGAUAGGCUUUUCUUCGGACUCAUUACAAGGUGCUGCAUGGUUGUCGUCAGCUCGUGCCGUGAGGUGUCAGGUUAAGUCCUAUAACGAGCGCAACCCUUACCGUUAGUUGCCAGCGAGUAGAGUCGGGGACUCUAACGGGACUGCCGGUGCAAACCGUGAGGAAGGUGGGGAUGACGUCAAAUCAUCACGGCCCUUACGUCCUGGGCUACACACGUGCUACAAUGGCCGGUACAAUGAGCAGCCACUUCGCAAGAAGGCGCGAAUCUAUAAAACCGGUCACAGUUCGGAUCGGGGUCUGCAACCCGACCCCGUGAAGCUGGAAUCGCUAGUAAUCGGAUAUCAGCCAUGAUCCGGUGAAUACGUUCCCGGGCA